rnacentral:lncRNA from 1 species
ACUUCACAGCAAAACCACGAGGAUCUCUCAGAGUCUCAGGGCUGCCACGCUCAUGGAUCACAGUUGAGAAACGAGCAAUAACAGGAGUCUGAACACCAGGUCCUCGAAGAAAAUCAGCACAAGUAAGGUGUGUAAUGUCAUGAGUGACUUCAAAGAAACCCUUUGCACUGGCACCUCUAGCAUGAACUACCCUCUCAGGGAUCCGCUCCCUGUCAAAGUUGGCGAUUUUCUCAAGCAGAUGGUAGUCCUCCAGAAGAAUUGGACCUGACAAUAUAUAAAAAUUAUACCUUUUUCUAAAUUUCCAAACCAGCGCACAUAAUAAAACAUGAAGACUUAUAUCAGAUUUGGCUUAUAACUGAAGGAAGAAAGCUGAGUGACUUCACACAAGUCCAAAAAACCACUGGCAUUCUCAUCUACACGUUUUUGACUUCCAUUAAUAGCUACAAGGACAUUAUUUCUGACAACCACUGGUUCACCUGUUCGCAAUGAUUGUUUAUUUGCAUUAAAGAGAUACAAAAUAGAAACGCACCUCUGGUGCCAACAGACAAAGAAGAGUUGUUGUUCCAGACUGGAGCACCCGAGUUUGUAGUGAAGAAGGGCGAAUCAUGAGCGCUUGAAGGACGAUGCUGCACCAAAAAAAGUAAAUUAAAAAAAAAAAAUGUAACUGGAUCAAGUAUUUAACCAAAUUCCCUUAGAUUGGAGAAUGUCUUUGAGAAGUGAUGAUACUUAAUAAAUAGCAGUAGUAGAAAGUAUAAACAAAUAACCAGAUUCCACAAAAGCCAGAUUAACUAUAGAAAUUUAGGAAGCAAUGCUAACAUUUUUCGUAGCUGUUAUUUGAGCUGCAAUGACAUUCAAAAAUCGAACACGGUGACUAAAUAACGAACAAAGGAAGCCACAAUCGUAGAGAAACCUUAGAACAUGAUGAUCUCCAACGAUAUCGACAGAUGAGACUUGUUAAUUCGAGCAUGUGCAUAUGGAAAAAUAAACAAUCAAUAGACGUAAACAUCUACACUCCUAAAAGUUUUAAGUAAUCUUUUAAUCUUAAACACAUGCAAGUUUCUGGCAAUUAAAAAUCCCUCCACAGAAUAAAGAAAUCGAUUUAAAGACCCCACAAAAAAAAACCUCAAAUAAUCGAACAAUCACCGCAACGCUCCAACACAUAUUUUGGACCAUUUUUUCCCUCGAUCAAGUUACGAGAGAAAACGAACCGAGUAUCAAAUUUCUCACAUGAUCCGCAAAGAGAAAUCGUCAAGGAACCAGAAUCAUACUCUCCGUAUAUCAAAUCGAAACACCAAAUUAACACGAAACGGACUCAGAUCCAGAAUCAAGCAAGACAAAAAAUUAAAGUUUACGAAAGGAGCCUAAGAGAAUCGAUCCAAGUACCCUGUAAGGAUCCAUGAUGCAGACAACUUUAUCCGAAUUCUCCUUGCGAUUUUAGCUGUGUGAGACUGAAUUUUUCCCUCUGUAUCUACGCGAAUUGGCGUGUGUUCCCCACUAUUGCCCGCGUUUUAUAGCGAGGUAGAUAAAUAUCUUAUUUUAGCUCCUUCCAAAAGCCCACCGCGAGAAAAUGAAAUCAUCUCUGGCAACGUGUGCUUAUUUGGGGAUUACGUGAUUAUCCAAAUAAAUAAUUAUUCCCAAAUUAAUCCUCCAAUUACGUGUGGAUAAUAUCGUCUUUGUCGUCGCUAGAUAUAUACUAUACCAUAAAAAUAGACAAGUGUUGUUUUCAAUCCAGGAUUUAUCUAUCCCUUACAAUAAUUAAAAUACUCGUAGAAUUAUUUUAUACAAUAAGAUAUUUACUGCUUCAAGAAACAUUGAUUUUAUUAUGAAGAGAUUACAAAGCCAGUGACCAGUAAAACGAAGGAAACAUCGGUGUAGAGGAUUACAAGCAUCAAUAUUAUACAGAAACGAAACAACAACACAGGGAUAUAUCUUUUGAGUUGUAUUGAUAUAUCUUUUGAGGGACUUAACGACCAAACGAUGAUGGAUCGAUUGAGAGUUUCACGAUCAUACCUUGCGUAGACAAGCAACUCUGGAGAUUGGUCUCUAGAUGCUUGGCCUCACGUUGAGACGGCUUGCUAGUUUCUGUCCCAGAGAACGAUCAGCCUGAAAGAGGAGAGAUUAAGAAUGUUAGCCUUGCUGAAAAUGUUGCACAACCAAUAAAGGAAGCAGAAGAUUUCACUUGAUUUUUUUUUUUUUUUUCUGACCUGAGACCAGUAAGAGAUCCAGAUGCUGCGGAUUUCGUGAGUGAGACGUGGCUCCGACAGAAUCUCAACCCAUCUCUUAACAAACCGGUCUUGCCUGUGAACAAAAGUGAAACAUGAAAAGAUUAGGAAUUAAGCUUUGUCCAGUGAGAUUUUGUGAGAGUUAAGUUAAGAGAAAUGAAACUUCUUCUUUACCUGUCUGGUGCCCAUGAUCUGUAUCUAUCUCCAGGCUGUUUGAAGUUGUUCUCCUUCUUGAUGAUGCACUGCAACAUAAGCAAUAAAAAAGUUUUUUUUAGCAGACGAUUCGAAUAAAUUGAGAUAAAGUUUUAAGGAUUUGAAAAAAAAGGCAUGGAGUGAAUCAAACCUUUGUUCGGAUUCCAGUGUAGGAUUUGUUAGGAAUAGGAACUUUCUCGGCGCAGCGGACGGGAUCAAACUUUGAGGGGUAGUAAUUAAUCUGUAAAAGCAAACACCAGAUAAAGACUUUAAUACCAAAUCAAAAGACCAAUAAUUGUAGCAUGUAACACAAGUUAAUACUAAUAGUUACCUCCUCAUCUCUGUGCAUGAAGUUCAUAAAACCUUCAUGGUGAUUGUUGUGGUGAGCACACUUGGGAGCAUUGACCGGUAGCUGAAGAUAAUUCGGUCCAAGACGAUGUCUCUGAGUGUCACCAUAGGCAAAGAUCCUACACUGGAGCAGCUUGUCGUCCGAGUAGUAGAUCCCAGGAACCACAAGACCAGGGUUGAAUGCGAGCUGCUCAGUUUCAUUGAAGAAGUUGUCAAUGGUCCUGUUCAGAACCAAGCGACCAACUGGCUGCAGAGGCAAGAUAUCCUCAGGCCAGAUCUUGGUCACAUCAAGCGGGUCGAAAUCAAACUUGUCCUCAUCCGCAGGAUCCAUGGUCUGGAUGAAAAGCUUCCACUCGGGGUAGUUACCAGAUGCAAUAGCGUCGUGGAGAUCCUUGGUUGCGUGGCUGUGAUUGGCUCCUCCAACUACCUUUGCCUCUUCAUCAGUCAAGUUCUUGAUCCCACAAGUGGGUUUCCAAUGGAACUUGACGAAGAGAACUUUUCCAGAUUUGGAAACAAGAGUGUAGGUGUGGACACCGAAACCUUCCAUGUGCCUGUAAUCUUGUGGAAUACCAACAUCAUCAAACAUCCAGCACCAUGUGAGCAAACUCUCCGGUAAAUGGGACAUGUAGUCCAAUAUCCUCCAGUACUCCUGGAUGUUGGUUUUGGGGUUCGGUUUCAACGCGUGGACCACAUCUGGGAAUUGAAUCCCGUCGCGGAUGAAGAACACCGGAGUGUUGUUACCAACAAGAUCAAAGUUCCCCUGAGUUUAUAACAAAGCAGCAGCAGCAAGACACACGUUCAGUAUACUGAUUCUCAAGAAGCCAGAGGAGAUCAACAAUGGAAAAAGGUAAUCUUUUAGCACACUAUACCUCUCUGGUGUAGAACUUAACGGCGAAACCACGAAUAUCCCUCAUGGUUUCAGGGCUGGCACGCUCGUGAACGACGGUGGAGAAACGGACGAUAACGGGAGUUUGAACACCAGGUGCUCGGAGAAAAUCAGCACAGGUGAGGUUUGAAAUGUCAUGGGUGACCUCAAAGAAACCCUUGGCACUGAUUCCUCUGGCAUGAACCACUCUCUCAGGAAUCCUUUCUCUGGUGAAAUUCGCAACUUUCUCGAUCAGAUGGUAGUCUUCGAGAAGAACCGGACCUGCC